rnacentral:misc_RNA from 1 species
UUGAUAAGCGUGAGGUCGGAGGUUCAAGUCCUCCCAGGCCCACCAAUUUACCUAUCCAUUUGCCUUUAUCCGUUUAUUUGCCGAUUUAUCGGUCCAUUGAAUUUAAGUGUUGGUAGCAGUUUUUAUAAUGAUGAGAAAUCAUGCUUAUAAAAGAACUCCUUAUAAAAGGCUUUAAAUUUUGCAAAACACUUUGAAUUUUAAAGUGAUCCAAGUUCGUGAUCUCGAAUUUAAAAGUUUCAAAUACUUUAUCCUUUUUUGGGGGCCGUAGCUCAGCUGGGAGAGCACCUGCUUUG